UACGUAGGGUGCAAGCGUUGUCCGGAAUUAUUGGGCGUAAAGAGCUCGUAGGCGGUUUGUUGCGUCGGCUGUGAAAUCCCGAGGCUCAACCUCGGGUCUGCAGUCGAUACGAGCAAACUAGAGUGUUGCAGGGGAGACUGGAAUUCCUGGUGUAGCGGUGAAAUGCGCAGAUAUCAGGAGGAACACCGGUGGCGAAAGGCGGGGUCUCUGGGGCAACAACUGACGC
rnacentral:rRNA from 1 species